GAAGGGAAGCUGUCCCAAUGGCCUCAGAAGCACCAAGUGAGGAUGCAGAACAUGCAGCUGAGCCUCCUGCAGCUCCUGUGCAGGGGGACAGGACAUUCCAGUGGGGAGCCAUCCUUGCUGCAGUGAAAGACCAGCUCCCAUCCCUGGACUCUGACUCCUCCACAUCAGACUGUGAGAGUGAUGAGGAGCUUUUCAUCUUCCAGCGGGACCUGCCCAACUUAAUUCCGGACCUGUCGGAGGAACUGAUGAUGUUUUCCCUGGAAGAUUCCCAGGAGCAGCAAAUCCAGGAGACAGAAAGAGUUCCAUGGGAGAUCUGGAACGAAGACCUGGAAAGUUUUGACUUUGAGGAAGAAACAGAUGGUGCCCAAAUCAUUGCAAAAGAAGAUGUACAAAUGAUUAAAGAUGAGGCUCCUGAACCUGCCAGCCAGACUGAAGAAAUGCCAAGCCAAAAGAGAGCUGUUCUUGAAGAGUCACCCUCAGAUUCCACAGAUCACCUUGAGGAGAAAGAAAUGGGCAGGACACAGGCCAAGGAAAGAGCAAACUCCUGGCCUAACCCAGCAGUGUCUGUGCAAGAGCUGUACACUAAAGAGGAGAGAAAAAAGCUGAUAGAGACAAAGAUACUCUCCAAGAUCCUUGUGGAGCCAUCCCCAAAGCAGGAUGUCAAGC
rnacentral:lncRNA from 1 species